UUUGUUUUUUAAUUAAAAACUAGAAUGAAAGGUUAUACAUUCAAAUUUCUUUAUUAAUUUUUUAAUAAAUAAUUUAUAUUAAAUAUAAAAAUAUAUUUACAAAAAAAAAAGACGACAAGACCCUAUUAAAUUUUACUUAUAGUUUAGCUGGGGAAGCUUUUCAAUUAAAAUUUUUUAAAAAAAAAAUUUAAUAAAUAUCUAAUAAAAUUAAAAUUUUAAUAAAUUACUAUAGGGAUAACAGCAUUAUAUUUUUUAAAAGUUCAUAUUAAAAAAAAAUGAUUGUGACCUCGAUGUUGAAUUAUAUUUUCUAUAUUUAAUGCAAUAAUUAUAUAAGUAGAUCUGUUCGAUCUUUAAAAUAUUACAUGAUUUGAGUUCAAACCGGUGUAAACCAGGUUGGUUUCUAUCUUUUUAUAUAUUUUUCUAGUACGAAAGGACAAAAAAAUUUUUAUUUUAAUAAAUUAGCAAAUGAAUGCAUUAGAUUUAGAAUCUAAAUAUAUAUAUAAUU
rnacentral:misc_RNA from 1 species